rnacentral:rRNA from 1 species
UUUAUUGGAGAGUUUGAUCCUGGCUCAGGAUGAACGCUGGCGGCGUGCCUAAUACAUGCAAGUCGAGCGAAUGGAUUAAGAGCUUGCUCUUAUGAAGUUAGCGGCGGACGGGUGAGUAACACGUGGGUAACCUGCCCAUAAGACUGGGAUAACUCCGGGAAACCGGGGCUAAUACCGGAUAAUAUUUUGGACCUCAUGGUUCAAAAUUGAAAGGCGGCUUCGGCUGUCACUUAUGGAUGGACCCGCGUCGCAUUAGCUAGUUGGUGAGGUAACGGCUCACCAAGGCAACGAUGCGUAGCCGACCUGAGAGGGUGAUCGGCCACACUGGGACUGAGACACGGCCCAGACUCCUACGGGAGGCAGCAGUAGGGAAUCUUCCGCAAUGGACGAAAGUCUGACGGAGCAACGCCGCGUGAGUGAUGAAGGCUUUCGGGUCGUAAAACUCUGUUGUUAGGGAAGAACAAGUGCUAGUUGA